rnacentral:rRNA from 1 species
UACGUAGGGGGCAAGCGUUGUCCGGAUUUAUUGGGCGUAAAGAGCGUGUAGGCGGUCAGGUAGGUCCGUUGUGAAAACUCGAGGCUCAACCUCGAGACGCCGAUGGAAACCAUCUGACUAGAGUCCGGAAGAGGAGAGUGGAAUUCCUGGUGUAGCGGUGAAAUGCGCAGAUAUCAGGAGGAACACCGAUGGCGAAGGCAGUGUUCUGGGCCAGUACUGACGCUGAGGAGCGAAAGCGUGGGUAGCAAACGGG